rnacentral:rRNA from 1 species
GUCCCAGACUCCUACGGGAGGCAGCAGUGGGGGAUAUUGCACAAUGGGGGGAACCCUGAUGCAGCGACGCCGCGUGGGCGAUGGAGCGCCUCGGCGCGUAAAGCCCUAUCAGCAGGGAAGAAGAUGACGGUACCUGACUAAGAAGCCCCGACUAAAUACGUGCCAGCAGCCGCGGUAAUACGUAUGGGGCAAGCGUUAUCCGGAUUUACUGGGUGUAAAGGGAGCGUAGACGGCCAAGCAAGCCAGGGGUGAAAGCCCGGGGCCCAACCCCGGGACUGCCCUUGGAACUGCUUGGCUGGAGUGCGGGAGGGGCAGGCGGAAUUCCUGGUGUAGCGGUGAAAUGCGUAGAUAUCAGGAGGAACACCGGCGGCGAAGGCGGCCUGCUGGACCGCUACUGACGUUGAGGCUCGAAAGCGUGGGGAGCGAACAGGAUUAGAUACCCGAGUA